rnacentral:sRNA from 1 species
GGCCAAGAUGCGGCGGCUUCCGGACCUGGGUAGGAUCGCAGGAAUGGAGGAGUUGUGUUGGAUGUGGGUUUGGCAGAUGCGUGAUGUUUUUCCCGUUAUCGUCGUUAUCAUCGUUAUGGGUCAGUUCAUUGCCGCUACAUGAAGGAAAUAAGGUUACCCAGGCACGGAGUAUCUCUUGUGAGCAGUGGAGCGGGAACGACGGCACAGAUGGGAAUUUGCUCUUAUCAUCAUCAUCAUCAUCAUCAACGUUCCCUGUUAUGUGGGGGGCAAAAAAAAAAAAAAAAAAAAAAAAAAAAAAAAAAGAUCCCUCUCAUCAACUACCUGGUUCCGGCAAACAUGCUACCUUAUCUCCCUUUUCAGCGUCUAGCCUUUGUCCGUAUGUAUGUAUGGACUCUGUACUGUACAUGUCCUACAUAUACGCACACACAUACAACCGCGUUAUUGUCCAACGUUGCGAGACGCAAGGACCAUCGAUGGAAAUAAUCCCCCAAGCGGCGUGGAAUGCAUAUCCGGGUGCUGGAUAUGCACCGUGCAACUUGGGCCUUAUGAACCGUUGGCAUCUAUAAAGUGGAAUUUCCUUGUCUGAACCAUCGUCCAGGCUGGCUACAUGCGAGAUGGAAUAUGUGUGUAUGUAUAUGUAUAUGUAUAUGUAUAUGUAUGUUGUAUGUUGUAUGUUGUAUGUUGUAUGUAUCCCUAUGUCCUCCUCCUCGAUGUAGCCAUGUAUGUCUGCAUGCGGUGUAAGCUAUGCUCCGCACGCAAAAGACAGUACAAAGCAGAGAAAGGGAUGAAGCAUCCAUCCGUUAUCUCCAUACUAGAAAGCACAAAGGGCUGCUCUGCUUCCACGCCCGGAAGCGAGCAACAUCGCCGUGUAUGAUCAUUAGUAGUGUCGUCGUUUUCGUCAAGGGAUGGGAGGAUGUGAUUAUCAACCCGUACAAAUCCGUUAACUUGACAUGUAGUUCUAUCUUGAUAGCCGCUCAAAGAAGCAAAGAAAAAAAAGAAAAGAGAG